UACAAUUUGCAUUGGCGCUUGUGUAUAUUUUCUCUGAAGAUGACCAUAAUUGUGUCAUGCCACUUGUUGUUCUUGAGCAGAGAUUUAAUCAAUCCAGAGAUGUUGUAAAUUGAUACAAUUGAACCACAUACUUGGAGAGACGAUGCCGUUGACUUCCGCAACGAUGAGCAAGGUGGCGAAUACCCGCUAGAGAGUGGAGAACUUCUAGCACCACUCGAUAGCCAGAUCAUCAACCAUGUAAGGUAUGAGGGCUUACAACACCCAUGAUUGUGUUUUCUGUAUUCUUCCGUUCUUCCCAAUCGUGUGUGACUAGCCAAGUACUUUUUUAUAUUACAAUAUUUUGGAAAAUAUAAGAAUACGCAAGUAAUUCAACACAUGCAACUUCCAUUGUAUAAAAGCUUCAUAUAUUUGAACAGUCAAACUUUAUCAAUAUCUGCAAAUAACACUCAUGUACUCAAUGUCAUGCCUUUGCAUGAAGAUUAAAAGAAGAGAUAAGGUGAACCACAUGGCAAGAUCUCAAAUAACCGAAUAUGCUGCAUAUAUAAAAUGGCUAGAUAUGCAAUCCAACAAGGUAUACAUCUGUUCUAAUCAUGCAUAUUUUGCAGGGGCUAUAUGUAAGUUAAACCUCCUGAAUAUAUUUGUGAGAAAUAAAAAUACAUGUCCCCGAUGAGUGCUGAGAGGUCUAUUUGAAGAUAUAUGAAAAGUAAAAGUGACUUCUAAUAACAAUUUAAAGUUCACAAAAAACUUUAAAAUACUCAUAUGACAAAUACUCGAGUAGAGAUUUGAAUGUGAUAGAACAUUAUUAAAAGCUCCAUUUAACAUCUUCGUCCUGCAUAUUAAAAUGUACAAUAUUAUGUUUGCGCUUAGCAUUCUUUAUGUAGGUCCAUCCGGUCCAUGUUUGAUUUUUUCCUGAAUUUAUUUAUGAUACAACUCUGGCUGCAUGUUUGAUUCUAACAUAUUAUGCCCUCUUUAUGUAGGUCCACUGGGUCCAGAUGUGCAAGGCAAACACGCAGAGGUCUUCGAGAGGCUUGUGCAGACGGAGCUUACAGCCAGAUCCAAGCGGAUACACCAUCCAUAGCUGGCCUAUGCUGGGUGGCGGCAUGUAUGAGCCUGAGCUUGACAUGAACGUGAGGGAUAGAUGAUUGACGAAGAACGACUUCGUUGUAUCCGUCGACGCCAUACCCCUUUCCAAAACAAACGACCUUCUCUUGUGUCCAUGAACUUUUGUUAGCGUUUAGUGAAUCAUGCAAUAGCUACAAGAUAGCUUGUUGGGGGAGUUUCCCCGGUGCUGGUGUUACUUGUAUGUACUUUGUGUCUGAAAUGGAUGGAUGGGUGUUGUACUUCUGCUGAGAAAGGAUGGAGGGAGGAAAGGAGGAGUACUUGCAUCUUUAAUUUUAUCUUGCAAGUUUCUGCCUUCCUAAAAAUACUAGAUUUGAUAUUCAAUCAUAUACGAGUAUUCAUGAAAGAACUUCCUUUCUUUUCUGCUAUACAACAGGUCUAGAGUUCCAACAUCUCAAUCAGGACGUGG
rnacentral:lncRNA from 1 species